UUAAGCGACUAAACGUACACGGUGGAUGCCCUGGCAGUCAGAGGCGAUGAAGGACGUGCUAAUCUGCGAUAAGCGUCGGUAAGGUGAUAUGAACCGUUAUAACCGGCGAUUUCCGAAUGGGGAAACCCAGUGUGUUUCGACACACUAUCAUUAACUGAAUCCAUAGGUUAAUGAGGCGAACCGGGGGAACUGAAACAUCUAAGUACCCCGAGGAAAAGAAAUCAACCGAGAUUCCCCCAGUAGCGGCGAGCGAACGGGGAGCAGCCCAGAGCCUGAAUCAGUGUGUGUGUUAGUGGAAGCGUCUGGAAAGGCGCGCGAUACAGGGUGACAGCCCCGUACACAAAAAUGCACAUGCUGUGAGCUCGAUGAGUAGGGCGGGACACGUGGUAUCCUGUCUGAAUAUGGGGGGACCAUCCUCCAAGGCUAAAUACUCCUGACUGACCGAUAGUGAACCAGUACCGUGAGGGAAAGGCGAAAAGAACCCCGGCGAGGGGAGUGAAAAAGAACCUGAAACCGUGUACGUACAAGCAGUGGGAGCCUCUUUAUGGGGUGACUGCGUACCUUUUGUAUAAUGGGUCAGCGACUUAUAUUCUGUAGCAAGGUUAACCGAAUAGGGGAGCCGAAGGGAAACCGAGUCUUAACUGGGCGUUAAGUUGCAGGGUAUAGACCCGAAACCCGGUGAUCUAGCCAUGGGCAGGUUGAAGGUUGGGUAACACUAACUGGAGGACCGAACCGACUAAUGUUGAAAAAUUAGCGGAUGACUUGUGGCUGGGGGUGAAAGGCCAAUCAAACCGGGAGAUAGCUGGUUCUCCCCGAAAGCUAUUUAGGUAGCGCCUCGUGAAUUCAUCUCCGGGGGUAGAGCACUGUUUCGGCAAGGGGGUCAUCCCGACUUACCAACCCGAUGCAAACUGCGAAUACCGGAGAAUGUUAUCACGGGAGACACACGGCGGGUGCUAACGUCCGUCGUGAAGAGGGAAACAACCCAGACCGCCAGCUAAGGUCCCAAAGUCAUGGUUAAGUGGGAAACGAUGUGGGAAGGCCCAGACAGCCAGGAUGUUGGCUUAGAAGCAGCCAUCAUUUAAAGAAAGCGUAAUAGCUCACUGGUCGAGUCGGCCUGCGCGGAAGAUGUAACGGGGCUAAACCAUGCACCGAAGCUGCGGCAGCGACGCUUAUGCGUUGUUGGGUAGGGGAGCGUUCUGUAAGCCUGUGAAGGUGUGCUGUGAGGCAUGCUGGAGGUAUCAGAAGUGCGAAUGCUGACAUAAGUAACGAUAAAGCGGGUGAAAAGCCCGCUCGCCGGAAGACCAAGGGUUCCUGUCCAACGUUAAUCGGGGCAGGGUGAGUCGACCCCUAAGGCGAGGCCGAAAGGCGUAGUCGAUGGGAAACAGGUUAAUAUUCCUGUACUUGGUGUUACUGCGAAGGGGGGACGGAGAAGGCUAUGUUGGCCGGGCGACGGUUGUCCCGGUUUAAGCGUGUAGGCUGGUUUUCCAGGCAAAUCCGGAAAAUCAAGGCUGAGGCGUGAUGACGAGGCACUACGGUGCUGAAGCAACAAAUGCCCUGCUUCCAGGAAAAGCCUCUAAGCAUCAGGUAACAUCAAAUCGUACCCCAAACCGACACAGGUGGUCAGGUAGAGAAUACCAAGGCGCUUGAGAGAACUCGGGUGAAGGAACUAGGCAAAAUGGUGCCGUAACUUCGGGAGAAGGCACGCUGAUAUGUAGGUGAAGUCCCUCGCGGAUGGAGCUGAAAUCAGUCGAAGAUACCAGCUGGCUGCAACUGUUUAUUAAAAACACAGCACUGUGCAAACACGAAAGUGGACGUAUACGGUGUGACGCCUGCCCGGUGCCGGAAGGUUAAUUGAUGGGGUCAGCGCAAGCGAAGCUCUUGAUCGAAGCCCCGGUAAACGGCGGCCGUAACUAUAACGGUCCUAAGGUAGCGAAAUUCCUUGUCGGGUAAGUUCCGACCUGCACGAAUGGCGUAAUGAUGGCCAGGCUGUCUCCACCCGAGACUCAGUGAAAUUGAACUCGCUGUGAAGAUGCAGUGUACCCGCGGCAAGACGGAAAGACCCCGUGAACCUUUACUAUAGCUUGACACUGAACAUUGAGCCUUGAUGUGUAGGAUAGGUGGGAGGCUUUGAAGUGUGGACGCCAGUCUGCAUGGAGCCGACCUUGAAAUACCACCCUUUAAUGUUUGAUGUUCUAACGUUGACCCGUAAUCCGGGUUGCGGACAGUGUCUGGUGGGUAGUUUGACUGGGGCGGUCUCCUCCUAAAGAGUAACGGAGGAGCACGAAGGUUGGCUAAUCCUGGUCGGACAUCAGGAGGUUAGUGCAAUGGCAUAAGCCAGCUUGACUGCGAGCGUGACGGCGCGAGCAGGUGCGAAAGCAGGUCAUAGUGAUCCGGUGGUUCUGAAUGGAAGGGCCAUCGCUCAACGGAUAAAAGGUACUCCGGGGAUAACAGGCUGAUACCGCCCAAGAGUUCAUAUCGACGGCGGUGUUUGGCACCUCGAUGUCGGCUCAUCACAUCCUGGGGCUGAAGUAGGUCCCAAGGGUAUGGCUGUUCGCCAUUUAAAGUGGUACGCGAGCUGGGUUUAGAACGUCGUGAGACAGUUCGGUCCCUAUCUGCCGUGGGCGCUGGAGAACUGAGGGGGGCUGCUCCUAGUACGAGAGGACCGGAGUGGACGCAUCACUGGUGUUCGGGUUGUCAUGCCAAUGGCACUGCCCGGUAGCUAAAUGCGGAAGAGAUAAGUGCUGAAAGCAUCUAAGCACGAAACUUGCCCCGAGAUGAGUUCUCCCUGACCCUUUAAGGGUCCUGAAGGAACGUUGAAGACGACGACGUUGAUAGGCCGGGUGUGUAAGCGCAGCGAUGCGUUGAGCUAACCGGUACUAAUGAACCGUGAGGCUUAACCUU
rnacentral:rRNA from 1 species